AAAUUAUUUAGUAAUUGAAUUGCAAGAAGAGUGUGAUCCGUUACAAUCCGUAACAAUAUAAUGUACAGAGUUAAUUUAGAGUAUUAAGACAUCAGCAAAACGCAAGUAAAGAAUAUCUCUAAUUGUCGGCAUUAUGUCGUCAAUGCAUGAAUAGUACAACGAAUGUUCAUGUGUUCAACAAAAAUGCUGAAAAUCCUAUCAUUACAAUCAAUUAUCCAACGAAUUUGAAAAAAACCCACCUGACAAUGUUACUGUUGCGUCAAAGUUUAUAACAUACUUGUCGCUUACAAUAGCUUUUUGUAAAUAAAAUAAUGCAUGCAUUCAUUCAGUGUUAUAAAAAAAGAAGUAAAAGAUACCAAAGGGAC
rnacentral:lncRNA from 1 species